UGAUACCAGGGUCAAAAGGUCAUGCGUUUCACGCCUGCAUGAAAAAGCAUGACCUUGGGACCCAUAAAACAUGAGAAAGUAGCCCGAAUAGAGCGGAUUUCGAAUGUUUUUAGGAUUGCGGGAGCACAAAGUGCGUAGCAAUCCGUAGGUAUCA
rnacentral:sRNA from 1 species